rnacentral:rRNA from 1 species
AUUGAACGCUGGCGGCAUGCCUUACACAUGCAAGUCGAACGGUAACGCGGGGCAACCUGGCGACGAGUGGCGAACGGGUGAGUAAUGUAUCGGAACGUGCCCAGUUGUGGGGGAUAACUGCUCGAAAGAGCAGCUAAUACCGCAUAUGACCUGAGGGUGAAAGCGGGGGAUCGCAAGACCUCGCGCAAUUGGAGCGGCCGAUAUCAGAUUAGGUAGUUGGUGGGGUAAAGGCCCACCAAGCCAACGAUCUGUAGCUGGUCUGAGAGGACGACCAGCCACACUGGGACUGAGACACGGCCCAGACUCCUACGGGAGGCAGCAGUGGGGAAUUUUGGACAAUGGACGCAAGUCUGAUCCAGCCAUGCCGCGUGCGGGAAGAAGGCCUUCGGGUUGUAAACCGCUUUUGUCAGGGAAGAAACGCUCUGGGUUAAUACCUCGGGGUAAUGACGGUACCUGAAGAAUAAGCACCGGCUAACUACGUGCCAGCAGCCGCCGUAA